CCUACGGGAGGCAGCAGUGGGGAAUAUUGCACAAUGGGCGCAAGCCUGAUGCAGCCAUGCCGCGUGUGUGAAGAAGGCCUUCGGGUUGUAAAGCACUUUCAGCGGGGAGGAAGGCGUUAAGGUUAAUAACCUUGUCGAUUGACGUUACCCGCAGAAGAAGCACCGGCUAACUCCGUGCCAGCAGCCGCGGUAAUACGGAGGGUGCAAGCGUUAAUCGGAAUUACUGGGCGUAAAGCGCACGCAGGCGGUCUGUCAAGUCGGAUGUGAAAUCCCCGGGCUCAACCUGGGAACUGCAUUCGAAACUGGCAGGCUAGAGUCUUGUAGAGGGGGGUAGAAUUCCAGGUGUAGCAGUGAAAUGCGUAGAGAUCUGGAGGAAUACCGGUGGCGAAGGCGGCCCCCUGGACAAAGACUGACGCUCAGGUGCGAAAGCGUGGGGAGCAAACAGGAUUAGAUACCCGUGUAGUC
rnacentral:rRNA from 1 species